rnacentral:lncRNA from 1 species
CGUAAGUGUUUUCAUUUAUUUAAAAUGAUUUUUUUAAAUAUAAAUUUACAAAGCCAUGAAUUCAUCCAAAUUCAUUAGCUUGGGCUAUAAGAAAUAAGUAGAAUCACGUUAAAUAAAAUCUUUCAUAAAUAGUUCAAUUUCAUUUAAUUUUUUCAACCUAAUUUUAUUUAUAAAUAGCACUUAUGUUCUACACUUUUCUGAUCCAUAAUUUACAAAUCCAUUAUCCCAUUGUUGUUGCUCUUCACACUGAAG